rfam:Hordeum vulgare subsp. vulgare, WGS project CAJW01000000 data, contig: morex_contig_39791
CGAGUACUCCCUCUGUCCGAAAAUACUUGUUCUAGAAAUAAAUAUAAUGGAUAUAUCUAUAAUUAAAAUAAGACUAGAUACAUUCAUCUUUAGGACAAGUAUUUCCGGACGAAGGGAGUACAUC